rnacentral:rRNA from 1 species
GUGGGGAAUCUUCCGCAAUGGACGAAAGUCUGACGGAGCAACGCCGCGUGAGUGAAGAAGGUUUUCGGAUCGUAAAGCUCUUUCGUUAGGGACGAACGUGCUCUUUGUGAAUAAUGAGGAGUAAUGACGGUACCUAAAUAAGAAGCCACGGCUAACUACGUGCCAGCAGCCGCGGUAAUACGUAGGUGGCAAGCGUUGUCCGGAAUUAUUGGGCGUAAAGCGCGCGCAGGCGGGAUAUCAAGUCUGUCUUAAAAGUGCGAGGCUCAACCUCGUGAGGGGACGGAAACUGGUAUUCUUGAGUGUCGGAGAGGAAAGUGGAAUUCCAAGUGUAGCGGUGAAAUGCGUAGAGAUUUGGAAGAACACCAGUGGCGAAGGCGACUUUCUGGACGAUGUCUGACGCUGAGGCGCGAAAGCUAGGGGAGCGAACGGGAUUAGAUACCCUAGUAGUCC